rnacentral:rRNA from 1 species
GGUUACUGCUAUCGGUGUUCGCCUAAGCCAUGCGAGUCAUAUGUUCUUCGGAACAUGGCGUACUGCUCAGUAACACGUGGAUAACCUGCCCUUGGGUCCGGCAUAACCCCGGGAAACUGGGGAUAAUUCCGGAUAACGCACAUAUGCUGGAAUGCUUUAUGCGUCAAAUGGAUUCGUCCGCCCAAGGAUGGGUCUGCGGCCUAUCAGGUAGUAGUGGGUGUAAUGUACCUACUAGCCUACGACGGGUACGGGUUGUGAGAGCAAGAGCCCGGAGAUGGAUUCUGAGACAUGAAUCCAGGCCCUACGGGGCGCAGCAGGCGCGAAAACUUUACAAUGCGGGAAACCGUGAUAAGGGGACACCGAGUGCCAGCAUCAUAUGCUGGCUGUCCGGGUGUGUAAGAUACACCUGUUAGCAAGGGCCGGGCAAGACCGGUGCCAGCCGCCGCGGUAACACCGGCGGCCCGAGUGGUGAUCGUGAUUAUUGGGUCUAAAGGGUCCGUAGCCGGUUUGGUCAGUCCUCCGGGAAAUCUGACGGCUUAACCGUUAGGCUUUCGGGGGAUACUGCCAGACUUGGAACCGGGAGAGGUAAGAGGUACUACAGGGGUAGGAGUGAAAUCUUGUAAUCCCUGUGGGACCACCUGUGGCGAAGGCGUCUUACCAGAACGGGUUCGACGGUGAGGGACGAAAGCUGGGGGCACGAACCGGAUUAUAUACCCGGGUAGUCCCAGCCGUAAACGAUGCUCGCUAGGUGUCAGGCAUGGCGCGACCGUGUCUGGUGCCGCAGGGAAGCCGUGAAGCGAGCCACCUGGGAAGUACGGCCGCAAGGCUGAAACUUAA